UCUAGAUCAACAGCCACUUGAGUUUAUAU
rnacentral:piRNA from 1 species